AUGGCUGGUGAAGAGUCUUAAUGCUCGUGGACUUUGAGUCCUACGUGUCUGAGACUCUGUGAUCAAGAAUCAGGAUUCUCUGAUCAUGAGUUCCACACAUUUUGGGUACCGGGGUCAAGAGUCCCACUGGUUUGAGAUUUUUUUGAUCAGGGUUUCAUAUUGAUGGACUCUGAUGCCCAAUUGCCCAUCGAAUUUAGACUCAGUA
rnacentral:lncRNA from 1 species